UUUCUUCCUUGUUAUUGUCACGUGAUGCUAACUGUAGCAGCAGCUCUGUAAACAGGCUUUACCAGCUAACAUGAUGCAGGGGAAGACUGUGAUAGUGACGGGAGCGAACAGCGGGAUCGGGAAAGCUACAGCAGCGGCGAUUGUGAAGCUCCAGGGCCGGGUGAUAAUGGCCUGCCGGGACCAAACCAGGGCCGAGGAGGCUGCCCAGGACAUCCGCCAGGAGACCGGGGCAGACGGCAGACAGAUCAUGGUCAAACAGCUGGACCUGGCCUCCUUGAGGUCUGUGCGCUCCUUCUGUGAAGACAUUAUAAAGGAGGAACCUCAGUUACAUGCUCUGAUCAACAACGCUGGAGUCUACCAGUGUCCUUACACCAAAACAGAGGACGGCUUCGAGAUGCAGUUUGGGGUCAACCACCUCGGUCACUUCCUGCUUACCCACCUGUUGAUGGACCUCCUGAAACGCUCAGCACCCAGCCGCAUUGUGGUGGUCUCCUCCAAGCUUUACAAACACGGUGACAUUAACUUCGAAGACCUGGACAGUGAGCAGUUCUAUGACAAGGCUUUUGCCUACAGUCGUAGCAAACUGGCAAACUUGUUGUUCACCUGCGAGUUGGCCCGCCGUCUGGAGGGCAGUGGAGUAACAGUGAAUGCUCUGACUCCAGGCAUCGUGAGGACUAACCUGGGACGGCAUGUGCACAUUCCGGUUUUAGCAAAGCCCCUUUUUAACCUGAUCUCCCGGGGCUUGCUUAAAAGCCCGGAGGAAGGAGCUCAGACUUCGGUGUAUUUGGCCUCCAGCCUGGAUGUUGACGGUGUGCAGGGAAAGUGCUUUGCAGAUUGUAAGCCUCUGGAACUUCUGGAUAAGGCCACAGAUCAGGAAGUGGCAUCAAAACUGUGGGACAUCAGUGAAGUCAUGGUGGGCAUAACGACUUGAGAACUGUCUGAGAUGUGCACGUUUUUCUUAGCAGGGUAAUAACUGAAACUGAAAGAUAUGCAAUGCCUUGGUUAUAUUUCCUUAACUUUUAGUUGUGGUGUUGAAAUAUCAAAAGGCUUUCUAUGUUUAUGGAGAUGUUUGUAUCCAUUUACAUGGUGGUUUGUUUGCAGCAUCUUGUUUCAGGUUCUAGAAUCUAUGUUUCAGUUCUUUUUAAAUAAACUCCUAAGAUCAAAUGUUUAAAGUGUAACCUUUCUAACAGAGUUGUAGUAAUGAGUGCCCUGAGUUUCACUAGAAGUUGGAGGCCUGUAGAUUUUUUUUAUACUUUCUCUACAUUUUAUGUGUAAACCUUGAAAUAACAUUGCUGGGAUGUCCAUUCCUGAGAAGACUGACAGCUUUCUUGAAUGUUUUAAAAUCGUUCUUUCUGUAAAAAAUUUACUUUAAAUGCUUUGGAUAUGACCUUGUAACCCUUCUCUUAUCAAUGAACAGCAACAGUUGCUACUCUGUUGUUAUUGCUGAUGUUUUUCCACACUGUUCAAAUUCCUCUUUUUAUAGAGAUGGCCACAAAGAUGAUGGCUGGUCAAUCGAUACAUUUAAUCAGGAGCACCUGGCUGGUUUGUUCCCUCUUAAAUCCUCUACGUAGAAGCAGCAAGGGUGGGCUGGCCCAUGCUUUUUAUGCAGGAUUCAGGUUGGAGUGAGGGUUCUUUCCAGAGACAAGCUACGUGGAGGAGUUUGACAGCCUGACGCACCUGCAUCAGAUCCUGGUAACCAGCGGCAGGCUUCUUAAGAAACGGUGGAACCACCAGUCUUCGCUCAAUGGUUACCACUUGUUGACCUUGAUCCCGCUUCCCGGAGCCAAGCCUGGAACUUCACCGGUCAGGCGCGUCUCGCUGGUUGGCACCUCCAAGCCGUUCCAAUCCGCUGCAGCCCGGGACCCCCGAACCUACCUGGACUCCCUUUUCCUCCUGACGUCCUCCAGUCUCAAUUCUCGAACAAUCGUUUGACUGAAUUAAAGCAAACCCUCUUAAACGUAAAGUCUGUUCUUCUGUGCGCACCUGCAUGUGGGCAAGGAAAUUAAAAUCCAACAUGACA